rnacentral:rRNA from 1 species
UACGUAGGUGUCAAGCGUUGUCCGGAUUUAUUGGGCGUAAAGCGCCCGCAGGCGGCUUGCCAAGUUCGAUGUGAAAUCUCCCGGCUCAACUGGGAGGGUGCAUCGAAAACUGGCAGGCUUGAGGCAGGGAGAGGGAUGUGGAAUUCCAGGUGUAGUGGUGAAAUGCGUAGAUAUCUGGAGGAACACCGGUGGCGAAGGCGGCAUCCUGGACCGAGAUUGACGCUGAGGCGCGAAAGCCAGGGGAGCAAACGGG